rnacentral:rRNA from 1 species
AGCAANGGCCCCCCCAGUGAUGAUAUUUAACGGCCGCGGUCCACUGACCGUGCAAAGGUAGCAUAAUCAUUAGUCUUUUAAAAGAGGGCUGGAAUGAAAGGUUUGACGAAGAGUUGACUGUCUCAUUUUAUUUUAUUAUAUAAUUUAACUUUUUAGUUAAAAGGCUAAAAUUUUAUUGGAAGACGAGAAGACCCUAUAGAGCUUUAUAUAAUUUUAUUUAAUUUNAUUUAUAUUAACUUUUCAUUAAAUGGACUUGUAUUUUAUUGGGGUGAUAGAGAAAAUAUAUAACUUUUUUAUUUAUUAUUCAUAAAUUCAUGAGUGGAUGAUCCAGUAAUAUUGAUUAUUAGAUUAAGUUACCUUAGGGAUAACAGCGUAAUCCUCUCCCAGAGUUCAUAUUUACGGGUAGGGCUUGCGACCUCGAUGUUGGAUUAAGAUAAUAAUUAGGUGUAGCCGCUUAAUUAAUAGGUCUGUUCGACCUUUAAAUUCUUACAUGAUCUGAG